UAUCAUCAUUUAUAUUAUCAUAUAUAUGACUAAUAUCUUCUAAUUUUAGAAUUUUGUUACGAAGUUGAAAAACAGCUUUCAAAUCUAAGUCGUUUAAUUCUAUUAAAUUGUGUGGUAUAUAAUCUUCUUCUGCUGAAAGUAUACUAUAUUGAAGACCUUCUAAUAGAUUUCGUAUUUUAUUUAAGAGCUUUGGUUCACAUUUAAACUAUAACAGAAAAUAUAUUGAUAAGCUACUGAUAAAAAUGAUUUGAGAUAUGGUUUGAGAUACCUAUAAAAUUAUAUAUGUAUACAUAUAUAUAUAAACAUACCUGAAAAUAUUUUGUAUUAUUUUCCUCAAAUUCCUCUACAUCAUCUGCACCAACAUUAAUAGCAUCUUCCAUGGCCUGCUCUAAAUCACCUUUUUUUUCAACUAUGAUGUUACCAACAUGAGUAAACAUGUUUCUGACAGAAUGAUUUGUGAGUUUUCCACUAUGCAUGUUAUUAAAACAAUAAUAAAUAUAAAAGAUG